GACGUAGGGUCCAAGCGUUGUCCGGAUUUACUGGGCGUAAAGAGCGCGUAGGCGGUCUGUUAAGUGUAGAGUGAAAUCUCCAGGGCUCAACCCGGAAACUGCUCUGCAUACUGGCAGACUGGAGUGAUGCAGAGGUUUGUGGAAUUCCUGGUGUAACGGUGAAAUGUGUUGAUAUCAGGAGGAACACCCAUGGCGAAGGCAGCAAACUGGGCAUUAACUGACGCUGAGGCGCGGAAAGCGUGGGUAGCAAACAGGAUUGAGAAACCC
rnacentral:rRNA from 1 species